AGGUUGGGAAAUGAAUGGUAAAAAGGUGACUCCACAGACUUCCACGUCAUCUUCCAUAAAAUGAGAAUGUGAUACCACCAUAUUUUUAUAUAUUAUCUGAUACAAAAAUUUUCACAUGGAGCCAUAGAUAAAGGUUGGAAGAGGUGCUGAGGUUCCCCAGAGGUUGUCCAGAAGGAGUAGUCUUUUGGACAGCAUGAAAAAAGCAGCCACAAUAAACCUAUCAGAACCACGGCUGAAACAUCAUGAGAUUUACAGACUAGUUUUUUAAAGUCCCAAGCAACAUUUAAAAGUAAUAACUUUAUGUACACUAGCUUAGGUAGAAAUUUCCUUUUAACUAUCUUCAUUUUCACACUUCGCAGAAAAAAUCUAUAGGAUUUAAUAAAAAUUAAUAUCCUUGGUAUAGAAUUUUAUAAAAUGGUUUAAAAGAAUUAUAGAAAAUAAAUACUUCUCUCUUCCAUUCUGUAUAUAUCUAGAGUAAUUUCUAUAUAUCUAACCCUACUGGCUUCAUCCCUGCUUAAUACUAUGAAAAAUUCCUAUAGUAUUCAAUAAUUAUUUCAAUGUAUGUCCUAACAGCAGCAUUAGCACAUUGUGGAUUAGAAUUGCCAGAUAAAUGCAUAGGUCAAACAGAGCUUCAGGAGCUUUUCCCUUCUAGAAAUAGAAAGUGAAUAAAUAAUGCAAAAAAAAAAAAAAGGUCUUUAGUAGCAAGUGCAUUCCUUUUUAGGGAUGAUGACAAAUCUACUCUUGAAGAAACUGAACUGGAAAAAAUAUCAUCAUAUAUACUUAUGAGUUUGGUAUUUUGAAUGAAUAAAUGUAUAAACAAGUGGAUCGGAUAAUUGAUUUUUAGAUGAGUUUUUUAUUUAAAUUAUUUCUUUUAAAAAUAAACUUGUUUAAAAAUAAAUUUUGAAUUAAAAAUCAGAUUAACACCUUAAUUUAUUGUAAUCUGUAAAAACAUUUAAAUAAAUAAAUGCUGAAUCCAUGAGCCUUUAUCAAGAAUCGGAGGAAAACAUCUAACUUUUGAGGUCAGUCUUUAUAAAUAUUGUAUAAUAGGUCAUGUAUUAAGAGCUUGUUUUGUUUAAUAAAAAUAUUAUGCUUUUUGUGUGUUUAAAUUCUAAUUACAAUCUUAAUGCAUCUUGACCACAUCAUGAGCAAGAAGUUACUUAUCUAGUAAAUAAGCAUAUCAUUAACCAUUUUCUAACAUUAAAAAUGUUCAAUAAGAAUCUGAAUAUUAAGCUUUAAAUAAUUGCUUAAAUAAAUUUGUAUAUAGUUAUAAUGUAUCACUGUUGGCAUCAAAAAGAUGUACCAAAUCUAGUGUAAAGGCUUUAUUUAGUUAUAAGUCAAUGUAUUUUUAAUGGCUAUAUCAAACAUGUAAAAUGCACCUUUCUUUAGAAAACAACUGUAGUACAAAUGAAAAAAGUUGAUUAAACUAAAUCAAUGGUUUAAACUGAA